UACGUAGGGGGCAAGCGUUGUCCGGAAUCAUUGGGCGUAAAGCGCGUGUAGGCGGCUCGGUAAGUCUGCUGUGAAAGUCCAGGGCUCAACCCUGGGAUGCCGGUGGAUACUGUCGAGCUCGAGUCCGGAAGAGGCGAGUGGAAUUCCUGGUGUAGCGGUGAAAUGCGCAGAUAUCAGGAGGAACACCAAUGGCGAAGGCAGCU
rnacentral:rRNA from 1 species